UGUGUGUGUGUGUGUUGUAUUUCUGUGUUAAAAAGGCUACCAGUGGUUUCAUGUUGUGAGAAAUCUUUCAACAGUAAUCAAGCCUGUCACAUGGGAACGUUG